rnacentral:rRNA from 1 species
GACGAACGCUGGCGGCGUGCUUAACACAUGCAAGUCGAACGGAAAGGCCCUGCUUUUGUGGGGUGCUCGAGUGGCGAACGGGUGAGUAACACGUGAGUAACCUGCCCUUGACUUUGGGAUAACUUCAGGAAACUGGGGCUAAUACCGGAUAGGAGCUCCUGCUGCAUGGUGGGGGUUGGAAAGUUUCGGCGGUUGGGGAUGGACUCGCGGCUUAUCAGCUUGUUGGUGGGGUAGUGGCUUACCAAGGCUUUGACGGGUAGCCGGCCUGAGAGGGUGACCGGCCACAUUGGGACUGAGAUACGGCCCAGACUCCUACGGGAGGCAGCAGUGGGGAAUAUUGCACAAUGGGCGGAAGCCUGAUGCAGCAACGCCGCGUGCGGGAUGACGGCCUUCGGGUUGUAAACCGCUUUCGCCUGUGACGAAGCGUGAGUGACGGUAAUGGGUAAAGAAGCACCGGCUAACUACGUGCCAGCAGCCGCGGUGAUACGUAGGGUGCGAGCGUUGUCCGGAUUUAUUGGGCGUAAGGGCUCGUAGGUGGUUGAUCGCGUCGAAAGUGUAAUCUUGGGGUUUAACCCUGAGCGUGCUUUCGAUACGGGUUGACUUGAGGAAGGUAGGGGAGAAUGGAAUCCCUGGUGGAGCGGUGGAAUGCGCAGAUAUCAGGAGGAACACCAGUGGCGAAGGCGGUUCUCUGGGCCUUUCCUGACGCUGAGGAGCGAAAGCGUGGGGAGCGAACAGGUUUAGAUACCCUGGUAGUCCACGCUGUAAACGGUGGGUACUAGGUGUGGGGUCCAUUCCACGGGUUCCGUGCCGUAGCUAACGCUUUAAGUACCCCGCCUGGGGAGUACGGCCGCAAGGCUAAAACUCAAAGGAAUUGACGGGGCCCCGCACAAGCGGCGGAGCAUGCGGAUUAAUUCGAUGCAACGCGUAGAACCUUACCUGGGUUUGACAUGGAUCGGGAGUGCUCAGAGAUGGGUGUGCCUCUUUUGGGGUCGGUUCACAGGUGGUGCAUGGCUGUCGUCAGCUCGUGUCGUGAGAUGUUGGGUUAAGUCCCGCAACGAGCGCAACCCUUGUUCACUGUUGCCAGCACGUUAUGGUGGGGACUCAGUGGAGACCGCCGGGGUCAACUCGGAGGAAGGUGGGGAUGACGUCAAGUCAUCAUGCCCCUUAUGUCCAGGGCUUCACGCAUGCUACAAUGGCUGGUACAGAGAGUGGCGAGCCUGUGAGGGUGAGCGAAUCUCGGAAAGCCGGUCUCAGUUCGGAUUGGGGUCUGCAACUCGACCUCAUGAAGUCGGAGUCGCUAGUAAUCGCAGAUCAGCAACGCUGCGGUGAAUACGUUCCCGGGGCU